UGCAUGUCUAAGUAUAAACGCUUCUAUACUGUGAAACUGCGAAUGGCUCAUUAAAUCAGUUAUAGUUUAUUUGAUGGUUCCUUGCUACUUGGAUAACCGUAGUAAUUCUAGAGCUAAUACAUGCAGAAAGUCCCGACCUCUGGAAGGGAUGUAUUUAUUAGAUCCAAAACCGGCGCAGGUCCUCCGGGGCCUGGUUGCUUGGUGAUUCAUGAUAACUGCUCGAACCGUAUGGCCUCUCGUGCCGACGGUGCUUCAUUCAAAUUUCUGCCCUAUCAACUUUCGAUGGUACGGUAGUGGCCUACCAUGGUUGCAACGGGUGACGGAGAAUUAGGGUUCGGUUCCGGAGAGGGAGCCUGAGAAACGGCUACCACAUCCAAGGAAGGCAGCAGGCGCGCAAAUUACCCAAUCCCGACUCGGGGAGGUAGUGACAAUAAAUAACAAUGCCGGGCUAUCGUAGUCUGGCAAUUGGAAUGAGUACAAUCUAAAUCCCUUAACGAGGAACAAUUGGAGGGCAAGUCUGGUGCCAGCAGCCGCGGUAAUUCCAGCUCCAAUAGCGUAUAUUAAAGUUGUUGCAGUUAAAAAGCUCGUAGUUGGAUUUCGGGGCGGCCUGGUUGGUCCGUCGCAAGGCGAGUACUGGUCAGCCGCCCUUCCUCUCGAAAGCCCCGACUGCUCUUCAUUGCAGUGGUCGGGUAGUUCGGGACGUUUACUUUGAAAAAAUUAGAGUGUUCAAGGCAGGCUUACGCCUGAAUACAUUAGCAUGGAAUAAUGGAAGAGGACCUCGGUCCUAUUUUGUUGGUUUCUGGGGCCGAAGUAAUGAUUAAGAGGGACAGUUGGGGGCAUUCGUAUUUAAUUGUCAGAGGUGAAAUUCUCGGAUUUAUGAAAGACGAACAACUGCGAAAGCAUUUGCCAAGGAUGUUUUCAUUAAUCAAGAACGAAAGUUAGGGGUUC
rnacentral:rRNA from 1 species